GUGGGGAAUAUUGCACAAUAGGGGAAACCCUGAUGCAGCGACGCCGCGUGGAGGAAGAAGGUCUUCGGAUUGUAAACUCCUGUUGUUGAGGAAGAUAAUGACGGUACUCAACAAGGAAGUGACGGCUAACUACGUGCCAGCAGCCGCGGUAAAACGUAGGUCACAAGCGUUGUCCGGAAUUACUGGGUGUAAAGGGAGCGCAGGCGGGAAGACAAGUUGGAAGUGAAAUCCAUGGGCUCAACCCAUGAACUGCUUUCAAAACUGUGUUUCUUGAGUAGUGCAGAGGUAGGCGGAAUUCCCUGUGUAGCGGUGGAAUGCGUAGAUAUCGGGAGGAACACCAGUGGCGAAGGCGGCCUACUGGGCACCAACUGACGCUGAGGCUCGAAAGUGUGGGUAGCAAACAGGAUUAGAAACCCGGGUAGUCC
rnacentral:rRNA from 1 species